CAGGUAAAGUAUCACAAGCAAAUAUGGCAAAGCACUUACAGGAAGAGCGUCAGCCCAGCCAGCAGGCAAUAAUACUUUUCAAGGCCCCGGCAUCUUCUGUGUGCUUGUGCUCAUGCCGUGCAAACUUAGCAUUCCAAUCAGCCUCAAGUGUAGCAGUAGCGCCUUGGGGCUCCAGCGGCUGCAACAGUCCAGGUACAUACAGAGGCCAAGCCAUCCAUCCCUGAUUUUGAGCGGCACGGAAAAAUCAAAAAUUGCAGCACUCACGUGGACGGACAGACCAAACUGGAACCUAGGGGAAAAUAAAGGGUCGCCAUUGAACUCGAUGUUGUACGGCGACCCUGUUAGUCUGUAGUAACCUGCUGUUUCUAGUGCAUGAGUAAUGGAUUUUCACUCAAGAAGCAACAAUCAACAAUGAACAGUUUACAGUAGACAGGAUGAACCAUGUGGUUGAUAGGAUGGAUGGACAUUUACAGUGUACAGAUUCUUCAGUUCAAAUAACCUGGGCUUCUAGUGCA